CCUACGGGAGUCAGCAGUGGGGGAUAUUGCACAAUGGGGGAAACCCUGAUGCAGCGACGCCGCGUGGGUGAAGAAGCGCCUCGGCGCGUAAAGCCCUGUCAGCAGGGAAGAAAAUGACGGGACCUGAAGAAGAAGCUCGGGCCAACUACGGGCCAGCAGCAGCGGUUAUACGUAGGGGGCAAGCGUUUUCCGGAUUUACUGGGUGUAAAGGGGGCGCAGGCGGCGAUGCAAGCCAGGAGGGAAAGCCCGGGGCCCAACCCCGGGACUGCGCUUGGAACUGCGUGGCUGGAGUGCAGGAGGGGCAGGCGGAAUGCCUGGUGUAGCGGUGAAAUGCGUAGAUAUCAGGAAGAACACCGAUGGCGAAGGCAGCCUGCUGGACUUCAACUGACGUUGAGGCCCGAAAGCGUGGGGAGCAAACAGGAUUAGAUACCCGGGUAGUC
rnacentral:rRNA from 1 species